rnacentral:rRNA from 1 species
AUUGAACGCUGGCGGCAGGCUUAACACAUGCAAGUCGAGCGGAGAUGAGGUGCUUGCACCUUAUCUUAGCGGCGGACGGGUGAGUAAUGCUUAGGAAUCUGCCUAUUAGUGGGGGACAACAUUCCGAAAGGGAUGCUAAUACCGCAUACGUCCUACGGGAGAAAGCAGGGGAUCUUCGGACCUUGCGCUAAUAGAUGAGCCUAAGUCGGAUUAGCUAGUUGGUGGGGUAAAGGCCUACCAAGGAGACGAUCUGUAGCGGGUCUGAGAGGAUGAUCCGCAACACUGGGACUGAGACACGGCCCAGACUCCUACGGGAGGCAGCAGUGGGGAAUAUUGGACAAUGGGGGGAACCCUGAUCCAGCCAUGCCGCGUGUGUGAAGAAGGCCUUAUGGUUGUAAAGCACUUUAAGCGAGGAGGAGGCUACUGAGACUAAUACUCUUGGAUAGUGGACGUUACUCGCAGAAUAAGCACCGGCUAACUCUGUGCCAGCCGCCGCCGUAACAC